rnacentral:piRNA from 1 species
UGGGUCUCUCCUGCCUCUCUGGCUUCUUCC